rnacentral:rRNA from 1 species
UACGUAGGGGGCAAGCGUUGUCCGGAAUUAUUGGGCGUAAAGAGCGCGUAGGCGGUCCGAUAAGUCGGCUGUGAAAGUCAUGGGCUCAACCCAUGAAAGCCGGCCGAUACUGUCGGACUAGAGUUCGGAAGAGGCAAGUGGAAUUCCCGGUGUAGCGGUGAAAUGCGCAGAUAUCGGGAGGAACACCAAUGGCGAAGGCAGCUCGCUGGGCCGUACCUGACACUAAAACGCGACAGCAUGGGGAGCGAACGGG